AUAUCUAAUCAUCUACUUUUUAAAGUAAGGUCUUCUUGUUUCUAAUUCAGUGAAGUUCUUAAUAAUACUCAUCAAGAUUAGGAACUUGCUAGUGGACUGGUGAAUACCUUUGGUUACACAAAAUAGAAAUUCUGCAUCAGGAGAGAUAUCAAGGCUAGGGGUGAGCAUUCAGUUCAAAUUGAACCGAACUAAAUCGAACAGAACCGAAUUAAAUUAUGAAAAUUGAAUUACAUAUUUUAGAAACUGAA
rnacentral:misc_RNA from 1 species